UGGCAGCCACGCACAAGGAAGAUGCUCCCAUCCGCUUCAGCAUCACGGGGGGGAAUCGGGACGGCCUGUUCACCAUCGACCAGCGCUCCGGCCUCAUCACCCUCGCCGCCCAGCUGGACUACGAGCGCCAGCCCAAGAGUCUAGAAUCAGCUCGUGUGUGCAGCCAACUCUUCUGGCCAUGAAAGACACGUUCACAAAGCCUGAAAUGGGUCGCUCAGUGGCAAAAUGUGCACGUUUUGCUGCCGGUAUCAGCGCACCGACCGAGUGGCGUGUGUGAGGCGCCUCUCCUAGGAAAUGUUGACGACCUAACGGUAGUGUUGAUAUUCCCGUUACUGAGUGUGCAGUGACAAUUUCCGAUCUGUGUUUGAAAUUGCCCUUAUGAAACCUGCAUUAUAACCCUUGGUGAGGGGCUCAGAGCGCACCACCAUCAGAGUCCCCUUAGCAUGCUUUGAAGGGUAUCGGAUUGCAUACUGCCUAUACGUAAAGAUCUUGACAUGACCACCGCCGCGUAUGGUGCAGGAAUGAGGUCGUGAUGCCAGAGACUUCUCACUACCGUGCAAACAUCAGGAGUCCCUUCACCUCACCUCACUGCAAGUUCAAAACACUAUUAUAGCCGUCGAUGAAUCGCUUUCAUCAUGGCUAAGAGGCUGAUUGACAGCACGACUGUGUGCACGAAGAUGCGUUUGGCGAGGCGCGAGCCGCUAAUUAGUGUGGCCGCCGAGUAGUGAUGAAAGGCACUCGAGCGUGACCCCCACGCGCCGCCCGGCACCCCGGCUCGGCUGGCUGAGGCAUGGAGGCUGAGGCGACUUGCGGGAUUAAUGGUCGUCGUGCCUGGAAGACGAUAGAUUUUAUUCAGCUCAUCAGAAUCUUUUCUAUGCAAUAAAGCGCUACCCAUUCUUGGAUCAGUGCAGCAUCCGUGUCUUUUUCAGCCGUGUGUAUUAAUUCAGUAAUGCAACGAAGGAAGAUGAAAUAAAUCGCUGAAUACGGAAACAGUGACCAGCAAGGGAUUAACAUUAAUAAACAACAGUAACUAAGA